UAAAAUUUUUAUACGACUUGUUGCGUGUCAUCGGUUUAAAACUAUUUUCAGUUGGAGGUCCGGCCAAAAUACGUAAUUUAGACGGUCGAACGACCUUUUCCGUGCGUUUAGGGGUUUGACUUACGAGAUUGACCGUCCGGAUCGAGCCCUUAUUCUUUUCGGAUCAAGUUGAAUUUUUUCCCAUACAUGUAUUUUAUCAUGAUGGUCAGAUCUGACGGUCGGAUGACUGUUUCUCCAGUUUGAUCAUCACAAUCACAACAGGCAUACUAAUGUUGUAUAACUUGUUUACCUAGUGUUAUGUAAAUGUUCCGUUUCAAAAACAAACUAUACGUAAAACCUUCAAACGGCAAAAAGUCAUGAAAUAAGAUAUGACGAGAAUGUUGAAAUACAUCCACGGUUGAAAAAUCACACUAUUCCGGUAAAUAUUCGGUGCCGAUAGUUGCGGUCAAUGCAAUUUUUCAUUUUUUCCAUCUAUGAGUAGCCCUAUUUUCGGUGGUUAUUUUGCGUAAAAUUUUUAUACGACUCGUUGCGUGUCAUCGGUUUAAAACUAUUUUCAGUUGGAGGUCCGGCCAAAAUACGUAAUUUAGACGGUCGAACGACCUUUUCCGUGCGUUUAGGGGUUUGACUUACGAGAUUGACCGUCCGGAUCGAGCCCUUAUUCUUUUCGGAUCAAGUUGAAUUUUUUCCCAUACAUGUAUUUUAUCAUGAUGGUCAGAUCUGACGGUCGGAUUUCUGUUUCUCAAGUUUGAUCAUCACAAUCACAACAUGCCAAAUGUAUACAAAUACUUUUAGCCGACGAAUUUCAAAGGUUUAGCCGACGAAUUUCAAAGUUUUAGCCGACGAAAUUUAAGACUUUAGCCGACGAAUUUCAAGACUUUAGCCGACGAAUUUCAAGACUUUAGCCGACGAAUUGGUGUAUAGCCGACGAAAUUUAAGACUUUAGCCGACGAAAUAUUUAUUUCGUCGGCUAAAGUUGUCGGUUUAACUCCGAACCCUAGCCUCCUCCCUCCUCC
rnacentral:lncRNA from 1 species